GAUGAACGCUGGCGGCGUGCCUAAUACAUGCAAGUCGAGCGAACAGACGAGAGUGCUUGCACUCUCUGACGUUAGCGGCGGACGGGUGAGUAACACGUGUGUAACCUACCUAUAAGACGGGGAUAACUUCGGGAAACCGGAGCUAAUACCGGAUAAUAUUUAGCUUCGCAUGAAGCAAUAGUGAAAGACGGUUCUGCUGUCACUUAUAGAUGGACCCGCGGUGUAUUAGCUAGUUGGUGAGGUAACGGCUCACCAAGGCAACGAUACAUAGCCGACCUGAGAGGGUGAUCGGCCACACUGGAACUGAGACACGGCCCAGACUCCUACGGGAGGCAGCAGUAGGGAAUCUUCCGCAAUGGACGAAAGUCUGACGGAGCAAUGCCGCGUGAGUGAAGAAGGUUUUCGGAUCGUAAAACUCUGUUGUAAGGGAAGAACAAGUACGUUAGUAACUGAACGUGCCUUGACGGUACCUUACCAGAAAGCCACGGCUAACUACGUG
rnacentral:rRNA from 1 species